GUGGGGAAUAUUGGACAAUGGGCGAAAGCCUGAUCCAGCCAUGCCGCGUGUGUGAAGAAGGUCUUCGGAUUGUAAAGCACUUUAAGUUGGGAGGAAGGGCAGUAAGUUAAUACCUUGCUGUUUUGACGUUACCGACAGAAUAAGCACCGGCUAACUUCGUGCCAGCAGCCGCGGUAAUACGAAGGGUGCAAGCGUUAAUCGGACUUACUGGGCGUAAAGCGCGCGUAGGUGGUUUUGUAAGUUGGAGGUGAAAUCCCCGGGCUCAACCUGGGAACUGCCUCCAAAACUGCAUGACUAGAGUACGGUAGAGGGUAGUGGAAUUUCCUGUGUAGCGGUGAAAUGCGUAGAUAUAGGAAGGAACACCAGUGGCGAAGGCGACUACCUGGACUGAUACUGACACUGAGGUGCGAAAGCGUGGGGAGCAAACAGGAUUAGAUACCCGGGUAGUCC
rnacentral:rRNA from 1 species